CAUAGUACGACUCAUGUAUUUGUGGGGAGCGACAAAGUGAAAGACAAACAAGUGCCUCCCCACAAGGUCACUAUGAAGUCCUGAUGUGAAAAAUAAUAUAUUUCACUCUACAAAUUGAGGAUGUGCCAACUAACACCUAACAUGACAGACUGAGAACUGCCUACAUCCUUGUGAACUCAGACAACAGUGGUGUACAGGAUAACUUAUCUCUGAAUGAGUUGCCCAAAUCUCCAAGACACUCACAAAAGAAAGGUAUCCAAUUUGGCCGAGUUGUGAAAUUUCCCAAAAUUUACAAGUAACUGACUUACAUACAAUGAGUCUUGUAACUCAGGUACUUAACUAUUUGUUCCUUGAUGUGCUGGAAUUCUUCAGGAGAACAGGAUUUGGAUGUAUAAUCCAUUCAGCUUUGAUAAGAGAAUUGAGUAAAUACUCCUUGGGCGGUAUGCAGCAGUUGGGAGUCGGCCGCCGAAAUCUUUAUGCCACAACAAAUUUGCCUCAGAGUAGGUGAUGUUACGAUUCCUCAGUGAGGCCAUCAUCCAGCAGUAGAAUUAUGAAGACUUAUGAAAAAUAUCUGCAGAGCAUUUUAGUGUUAAGGAUACUUUCACAUUGAAAACGUAUCUAAAUAUGGUCAGGUAGUAAAUGUUUAUUGUCAUAUAAACCACUUGAAGGUCAUAUUUUCAAAAGUUUGGAAGAAUAGUUUAUAUAUAAUAUACUUUAAUAUGCAUCAAGACUCAUUUUCCAGCGAGAACCCUCUCAUAUGGCGACCCAGAAGUAAAAUAUGAAUCUUCUGUGAAGAAUGUAGAUUUGAAAACUGAGAAAGAAGAAGCCACUUAAAAAGAAGAGUAAAACAUUAUUUUCAUCUCAGCUAUAAUUCUGCUACAAGAUUUGCUGUAGAACAAUUUAAUUCAAACUUGGUUACUCAAGGCUGAAGGUUAUUUCUUUAUAUUUAUGCACACAAUGUGAAAGUGAAUUAAUGAGUGCAAAUAAUGCCAUUACAUUUGUCAGUGUUUUAGUACAGUGAGCAAGAUGACCAGCUGUAAUAAACAAAAGAAAUUAAAGACUUUGUGAUAAAUUUGAAUCCAAAAUACAACCGAAUAUUGGACUUUACAUCUAAUCUGGAAUGAAUUAACAGAUUAAUCGAGAUUAACACUUGUAAACUGUAAUAUAUAUAUAUAUA